rfam:Beta vulgaris subsp. vulgaris Bvchr6.sca024.con0066.1, whole genome shotgun sequence.
GAAUAGUGUAAAAUCCCAACCUCGAAUUCAUUAAACUGGAUCUAGACCCUCGAGUAAUGGAUUGGCCCAACAAGGUAUGCUAGGCGACACAUGUGCUACGAUGGCCGGGACAAACGGUCGCGAUCCCGCGAGAGUGAGCUAACCCCAAAAACUCGUCCUCAAUUCGGAUUGCAGGCUGCAACUCGCCUUCAUGAAGCCGGAAUCGCUAGUAAUCGUCGGUCAACCAUAAGGCGGUGAAUUCGUUCUCGGGCCUUGUACACACCACCCGUCAGACUAUGGGAGCUGGCCAUACCCGAAGUCGUUACCUGAACCGCAAGGAGGGGGAUGCCGAAGGCAGGGAUAGUGACUGAGGUGAAGUCGUAACAAGGUAACCGUACUGGAAGGUGCGGCAG